GUAUGAGCUUAAGUUGUCCCCACCUGACUUGGUCUUAAGCAGGGUGGACAGACAAGGGCAUUUUUCUCCCCUCUUAAAAUUUGCCUAGCUGCUUUCAGGACUGAGGCUUUGCUUGCGGUCUCUUAGGGAGACAGAAAGAUAGACAGCCAGCCAAAGAAACAGACGUCCCAGGGAGGAAGCCCUGUGCUGGGAUUAGGAGCAUGGGCUCUGAUCUUGAAGCCACCUUGAGACCCAUCCGCUAUGCUUAGCUUACAGCCUAAUACAUGGUUACAGAGCUCUGCUUUCAUAUCCAGUGAGGGGCAUACAUCCACUCCUUUAUUUUAAUACUCAGACUUGCUCAAUUUUGCUGGCUUUAGUCCUUUGAAAAAGAUCGCAACUGAUUUAGAAAGUGAUUUGGUUUAUAAGAAAGUCAUUUCCCCUGUGCUGUGUUUAGCAGAAUCCUGCAGUGUCACUGUAGAUACAAAAUGUGCUAACCUGAACACAUGGACAUAGGCUGUGUGCCUAAAAUCACCAGAGACCCUUAGGGAGCCACUCUGGCAGAAGAGCUGCAUCAGUGUUGGACUGAGGAGUCAGCAGACCUGAAUUUGAGUUUGGCUUCCACCACUCUGCAAUCCUGGAUGAGCACACUGGAUUUCAGAUGAGCAGAGUGGUUCAGUGAUUUGCUGAAGGCAGCACAGCUUCCAAGGGUCCGCACUCCGGUCUCUACAUGCGUAACUGAGAGAAAUGUUCACACAGAGGCUAAAAGAAGCAUGUAAAAUGCUGUUAGUGGGAACAUUACUGCAGUAAUGAAGAUUGGAAAUGGCUUAACUGCCCAUCAAUAUGGGACUGGAUUUUAAAAAGUCCAUUUAUUGUGUGGAAUGCUGUGCUUUAGUUAGAAAGGAAGAAAUAGCGCUUGGAAGGUUGAGGCAGGAAGACGGUGAGUUUAGCUAGCCUGGGCUACAUAGUGAGAUAUUGUCUCAAAAAAAAAACAAAAAAGAAAAAAAUGAAUCAACAAAGAAAGAAAGGAAAGAAGGAAAGAAGAAAGGAAGGGAAGAAGACCUAGAUCUUUUUACACAGAAGUUGCUGAGCAAAAAUUAAAAGCAUGCCGUGGCUCCAGACAUAGCUGUUAAAAACUAUACGGUUGCAUUUUUCCAGUGAGAACGUGGUCUUGUGUGCCUUGUACACUUCAUUUUACAAAGAAGAUGGGACAAAGAAAACUGAGUGACCACGGGAGCUUCUGACUGACCUGGCCUGGGUUUGGGCAUAGCGGACAGCAUUGUUCCCUCUGUCUGUUGCAGGCUGCAGAUACCAGAGCAGUCACAGAAGAUGACCUGCUUUCUCUGUACCUCGAGAUUUGUCCCCCAAGGUGUGAUGGGUUGGGGAGCUGAGAUGCUGGGUCCUGAAGAGCAUCUAGACAAAGGAGGAGGAAGACAAGAAGGCCAGGGUGGCUGCAGGACUCAGCCCAUGCAGCUUCCCUGAACUGUCGUUAGUUCUGGGAGGAAGGAGUGUAGCCUGGUGCAGGGAUGGUUACUGAGGACGAAGACUGGAGGGCCCUGGAGGACAUGCGGGAAGGGCUUGAGGGUUCCGAGAUGGCACGCAGCAAGGCACGCUCUGUGUUUGCCUGGCGGAUCAUCUCCUGCAUUCCUUCACUCAUUCUGACGCUGUAGUUGAAUUCCUCACAUGUCGCAUUGCACUGUGUGCUGGGCACACAGAGACCUUCCAGGAGCCAUUGGGUCCCAUGCGGGAGAAUUACCUAGGAAACUUGUUAAAAUGUGAAUUUUUGGGGUCUACUCAGUCCAAAGGCCAUGCUGAGGAGUCUGGUUCUUGUCUGAAUAACAGAGGAAUUUCUAUGUAAGCCAGGGAGUGAAGGGCGUAGGUAGAAUUAUCAGAGUCAUAGAUGCAUGUAACGUGAAGCCAGGCCUCACUUCUCUGUGGAGCAGCAGAGAAUUCGGAGCUGGAGCCUCUGUGGCUGAGCGUAGCCUAAGUGAAUGUGAGGGCAGCAGGGGGAAGCCAGUGAGAUCUUGAGGUGGAGGGAGAGGUGGGUGAUGGUUGGGGCUCUGGGAGGUGACAGCUUUCACCCUGGAACCAUAGUGAGGUAUCAGAGUGUCCAACACUGGCUGGGAGUUGGUGGGGGUGUCCUAUGCCUCCCUGCACGGAGGCUGUGAGUGGCACUCAGCUGCUCUUUCUUCUCUUCCUUCUCCUUCUCUUUUUCCUCCCUCUCUUUCUCUUUUCUGGUAUUUAAGAGAUCGAUGCAUUGGGGGAAAAGGGCAAACUCAAGCCAAAGGCAGGACCAAGACUUGGAGUCAAAUUUGGCACCUGGCUGCGGGGUAGGGUAAGGGACAUCCCAGGGUUGAGGACUCUGUGAUAUUUCUGCUCUUUUUACUUUUUAUUUUUUUGACAGAGUCUUGCUGUGUAAUUCAGGCUGGUCUUAAAGUUACUACGUAGCCCAGGCUGGCCUUCAAUUCAGUGAUCCUCCUGCUUCAGCCUCCUGAGUGCUGGGAUUACAAGCCUGUACCACCCCACCUGGCAUUUCUCUCCUUUUGCUUGUAUCUCUACCUUGUUUUCUCACCAGCCCUCACAGUCAGAGAAAUAGAAAGGGCAGGAGGAAGGAACCGAAGGGAAAGUGUGACCAUUAGCACAUACAUGCUGCUCUGAGCAGAGACUCUGCACUUGGUUGAGACUUAGCAUUGACCUGGACAGAAUCACUAAUCCCAUGGAGGGCUGGGAAUCCUGCCAUAGAUACAAUGGUGAAGAAAUGUGCUGACAUUUGGAUUUCCAGGCUGCUACCCAGUCAAGAUGAAGACCUCACACUUCACAGUGUUCAGAGCCUUUGACUUGGGGCCCUAAGUUCCAGCUCAUCACUUCUGGAUAACUUCAAACAAAUCAUCUACCAGACUUCAUUGAAAUGGGGAUAAUCCUACUACUCACCUCUGAGGGCAGCUGCAAGGACUGAGUGAAUUGAUGUGCACAAAACUUUUAAGGAUACUGCUGCUGUACAUUUGUAUGUACCUGCCUGCUGGUCUCUGUAAAAGAGACAUAAUAAUAAUUACUGCCCCUUAGAGUUGAAUGACAAAGUGAAAAAUAAAAGUUUUUGCAACUUGCUAUACAAACAGGAGUGACUAUCAGUGUGGACUAUCCCAUCGAUAAUAUUUCCUAGUUAUGUAGUGCAAUGUUAUUCAACAGAAAUAGAAUGUGAACCAUACAUGUAAUCUAAAUUUUCUAGCAAUUGUAUUAAAAUGAAGUAAAAAGAAA